AGUGAACGCUGGCGGUAGGCCUAACACAUGCAAGUCGAACGGCAGCACAGUAAGAGCUUGCUCUUACGGGUGGCGAGUGGCGGACGGGUGAGGAAUACAUCGGAAUCUACUUUUUCGUGGGGGAUAACGUAGGGAAACUUACGCUAAUACCGCAUACGACCUACGGGUGAAAGCAGGGGAUCUUCGGACCUUGCGCGAUUGAAUGAGCCGAUGUCGGAUUAGCUAGUUGGCGGGGUAAAGGCCCACCAAGGCGACGAUCCGUAGCUGGUCUGAGAGGAUGAUCAGCCACACUGGGACUGAGACACGGUCCAGACUCCUACGGGAGGCAGCAGUGGGGAAUAUUGGACAGUGGGCGCAAGCCUGAUCCAGCCAUACCGCGUGGGUGAAGAAGACCUUCGGGUUGUAAAGCCCUUUUGUUGGGAAAGAAAAGCAGCAGGUUAAUACCCCGCUGUUCUGACGGUACCCAAAGAAUAAGCACCGGCUAACUUCGU
rnacentral:rRNA from 1 species